AUCAUUAACUGAAUCCAUAGGUUAAUGAGGCGAACCGGGGGAACUGAAACAUCUAAGUACCCCGAGGAAAAGAAAUCAACCGAGAUUCCCCCAGUAGCGGCGAGCGAACGGGGAGCAGCCCAGAGUCUGAAUCAGUGUGUGUGUUAGUGGAAGCGUCUGGAAAGGCGCGCGAUACAGGGUGACAGCCCCGUACACAAAAAUGCACAUGCUGUGAGCUCGAUGAGUAGGGCGGGACACGUGGUAUCCUGUCUGAAUAUGGGGGGACCAUCCUCCAAGGCUAAAUACUCCUGACUGACCGAUAGUGAACCAGUACCGUGAGGGAAAGGCGAAAAGAACCCCGGCGAGGGGAGUGAAAAAGAACCUGAAACCGUGUACGUACAAGCAGUGGGAGCACGCUUAGGCGUGUGACUGCGUACCUUUUGUAUAAUGGGUCAGCGACUUAUAUUCUGUAGCAAGGUUAACCGAAUAGGGG
rnacentral:rRNA from 1 species